rnacentral:rRNA from 1 species
UACGUAGGUGGCAAGCGUUGUCCGGAAUUAUUGGGCGUAAAGCGCGCGCAGGCGGUCCUUUAAGUCUGAUGUGAAAGCCCACGGCUCAACCGUGGAGGGUCAUUGGAAACUGGGAGACUUGAGUGCAGAAGAGGAAAGCGGAAUUCCACGUGUAGCGGUGAAAUGCGUAGAGAUGUGGAGGAACACCAGUGGCGAAGGUGGCUUUCUGGUCUGUAACUGACGCUGAGGCGCGAAAGCGUGGGGAGCAAACAGG